UCAGAACUCUGCUCCAGACCAGUGCUACCCUAAGUACCAUCACCACCAUCUGGUCCAUCCUCCAGCUUUAAGCUCCCUCAUGUCAAACCAUUCCCACCAGCAGCCCUGAAACUGAGAGAAAAGCCUCCAGAGCUACUGGAGAACCAUAAGCCUCAGUUCCCCUAAUUAAUAUCCUUUUGGACAAGUCUAAACAAACAGUAAAAGAAUCAGAAAUAUAUGGCAGAGCUUGUGUAAGCAGGAUAAUCUUCUGUACUGGCCUCUUUAAAGCUUAUCGUAUAAGUCAUACAAUACUUCUGAAGACAGGAAAAAAUACACAAAGAGGCAGCUGUUGGAACAGAAGCCAGCUACUGAGAAAUCAGAGGAUUCAUCUGCCUUCGUAUCAGCUGUCUGCAGUACAAAUACCUAUGGAUGAUCCUAUCACCCCGAGCUCCCUGUCUAGUGAGGAGCGAGAAACAGGCUCUUGCAAAGUGCGACUUAGCUGUGCCGUUUUAGGCAUCAUCGUUAGGAUGAAACGAAUUUCCACACAGACUCUGCCAGUUUCCCUGCAGCCUCUGAAGGAGAUCCACACUUAGAUGUGUGCAUCUGCACACACAAACUGCUGUGGCCCUCUGGCAUCUCGGGGCCUUUCAACCCUGCUGAGACAGCCGGUCCCAUUCUUUUUCAUCUCCCCUCCUCGUGCAGAAGCAGUGCUCCAGGAACCCAUCUUCCCGGUGAUGUAGGAUGGGGGAGGCCCUACCCUUUCCCAGAGGCGCACAGGGACGCAGGCGAUACUGGAGGAGGGCUGGGGGACUCGGCUGGGCGCUGUCCGUGCCUGUGGUGCUGAAGCCCCGUGCUGCAGCUGUCCCCGCGUGCUGCGCGAAGCGGGAGGUGGAAGUCACAGGAAAUAAAGUCGGACAGUGUUAAAUAGUCUAACUCAAAACUUUUGCUGCUCCCCAUCGUUCCAAUGCCAUUCUCUUUUCCUAUCAGCAGCUCUCCAGUUCGGCGGUAAAAUGUGGCUUACGCGAUCCGAUUAUACAUGCACAUCCCAGAGAGGACGCUCAUGCCUUGUGAAAAUUAAUUACAAAUCUCCAAAGGACAACGAUGAACUAAAAAUAACAAAAACAACAGGAAGCAUUGUACUCUGGUGGGUGACGCUAAAAAAAAAAUAAGAUGCUGA